rnacentral:lncRNA from 1 species
GAAUGAAUCCAACUCACUCUAGCUAUAUAGUUUGAGUUGAUUUUUAUUCUUGACUACCUACGACAACGAUCAAUAUCUAAUGAAUUGCAACGCCAACAUAAAAACUAUCAGAGAAAUUCUGGCUCACCUACAAGAGUUAUAUGGUAAGCAGAGUCGCGCAGCCCACUAUAAAAUAUCCAAGUGACUCUUCAAAGUAAAAAUGCAUGAUGGGU